CCUACGGGAGGCAGCAGUGGGGAAUAUUGCACAAUGGGGGAAACCCUGAUGCAGCCAUGCCGCGUGUGUGAAGAAGGCCUUCGGGUUGUAAAGCACUUUCAGUGGUGAGGAAGGAUGUAAGAUUAAUACUCUUGCAUAUUGACGUUAGCCACAGAAAGUGAAGCACCGGCUAACUCCGUGCCAGCAGCCGCGGUAAU
rnacentral:rRNA from 1 species